rnacentral:rRNA from 1 species
UACGGAGGGUGCAAGCGUUAUCCGGAUUCACUGGGUUUAAAGCGUGCGCAGGCGGUUAUAUAAGACAGAGGUGAAAUCCCCGGGCUCAACCUGGGAACUGCCCUUUGUGACUGUAUAGCUUGAGUGCGGCAGAGGGGAGUGGAAUUCCGCGUGUAGCAGUGAAAUGCGUAGAUAUGCGGAGGAACACCGAUGGCGAAGGCAAUCCCCUGGGCCUGCACUGACGCUCAUGCACGAAAGCGUGGGGAG